rnacentral:rRNA from 1 species
UACGUAGGGGGCAAGCGUUGUCCGGAAUCAUUGGGCGUAAAGCGCGUGUAGGCGGCUCGAUAAGUCUGCUGUGAAAGUCCAGGGCUCAACCCUGGGAUGCCGGUGGAUACUGUCGAGCUCGAGUCCGGAAGAGGCGAGUGGAAUUCCUGGUGUAGCGGUGAAAUGCGCAGAUAUCAGGAGGAACACCAAUGGCGAAGACAGCUCGCUGGGACGUGACUGACGCUGAGACGCGAAAGCGUGGGGAGCAAACAGG